rnacentral:rRNA from 1 species
UACGGAGGGUGCAAGCGUUAUCCGGAUUCACUGGGUUUAAAGGGUGCGUAGGUGGGUUGGUAAGUCAGUGGUGAAAUCUCCGAGCUUAACUCGGAAACUGCCAUUGAUACUAUCAAUCUUGAACCAUCUGGAGGUAAGCGGAAUAUGUCAUGUAGCGGUGAAAUGCUUAGAUAUGACAUAGAACACCAAUUGCGAAGGCAGCUCGCUACACAUAUAUUGACUCUGAGGCACGAAAGCGUGGGGAUCAAACAGG